rnacentral:lncRNA from 1 species
GCAGUUUAAAAAAAGAGUGGAGAGGCUGAUUAGCUGAGAAGGAAUCUUCUGUGGAGUAUAACCCAUGGAAACCUCGAUUGGUGGCCAGAACUGAACAGUCAGAGCUCUCUCUGGACGUUCCAUCCUUAGUCAUUCCCAGGUGUCACCUCAUGCUUGUUUAAUGGGAUGGGGGCGUUUCUCAAACAGCUGAGAAAUAAAAAUCACUCCUCAUCCUUCAUUCCCGGAAAAAAAAUAUUCAACAGGAAAACUAAGGAGAUUUAAGACAAACUACCAAAAUUACUCUAUUAUUAUUAAUCACUAAUAUAUUUUCUGCCCUGCUGCUUCCUGCUGUGUAAUUUUUUGAAAUCCUUUCAUGAGCACUUUUGGUUUGGUUUCUUGCAAACAGGUUCGAUUUCCAUGUAGGUUUUGCAUUCAGGUUCCUUUUUUCCUGCUUCCAUGAGUUCUCUGUUUUGCACACUCCAGUGUCUUACUUGAGACCUGCAUGUCACUACCUAUGAUUGAUUCUUAUGAUAGAGGCCAGUUAGUCUCUGUCCACAUACACCACAUCUUCA